GACGAACGCUGGCGGCGUGCUUAACACAUGCAAGUCGAACGGAAAGGCCCUGCUUUUGCGGGGUGCUCGAGUGGCGAACGGGUGAGUAACACGUGAGUAACCUGCCCUUGACUUUGGGAUAACUUCAGGAAACUGGGGCUAAUACCGGAUAGGAGCUCCUGCUGCAUGGUGGGGGUUGGAAAGUUUCGGCGGUUGGGGAUGGACUCGCGGCUUAUCAGCUUGUUGGUGGGGUAGUGGCUUACCAAGGCUUUGACGGGUAGCCGGCCUGAGAGGGUGACCGGCCACAUUGGGACUGAGAUACGGCCCAGACUCCUACGGGAGGCAGCAGUGGGGAAUAUUGCACAAUGGGCGGAAGCCUGAUGCAGCAACGCCGCGUGCGGGAUGACGGCCUUCGGGCUGUAAACCGCUUUCGCCUGUGACGAAGCGUGAGUGACGGUAAUGGGUAAAGAAGCACCGGCUAACUACGUG
rnacentral:rRNA from 1 species